rnacentral:rRNA from 1 species
GGGUAGUUUGACUGGGGCGGUCUCCUCCUAAAGAGUAACGGAGGAGCACGAAGGUUGGCUAAUCCUGGUCGGACAUCAGGAGGUUAGUGCAAUGGCAUAAGCCAGCUUGACUGCGAGCGUGACGGCGCGAGCAGGUGCGAAAGCAGGUCAUAGUGAUCCGGUGGUUCUGAAUGGAAGGGCCAUCGCUCAACGGAUAAAAGGUACUCCGGGGAUAACAGGCUGAUACCGCCCAAGAGUUCAUAUCGACGGCGGUGUUUGGCACCUCGAUGUCGGCUCAUCACAUCCUGGGGCUGAAGUAGGUCCCAAGGGUAUGGCUGUUCGCCAUUUAAAGUGGUACGCGAGCUGGGUUUAGAACGUCGUGAGACAGUUCGGUCCCUAUCUGCCGUGGGCGCUGGAAGAUUGAGGGGGGCUGCUCCUAGUACGAGAGGACCGGAGUGGACGCAUCACUGGUGUUCGGGUUGUCAUGCCAAUGGCACUGCCCGGUAGCUACAUGCGGAAGAGAUAAGUGCUGAAAGCAUCUAAGCACGAAACUUGCCCCGAGAUGAAUCUUCCCUGAGCCUUUAAGGCUCCUGAAGGAACGUUGAAGACGACGACGUUGAUAGGCCGGGUGUGUAAGCGCAGCGAUGCGUUGAGC